rnacentral:rRNA from 1 species
CCCUUAGAUGUCCUGGGCUGCACGCGCGCUACACUGAUGUGUCCAGUAAGCACCUAACCUCUUCCGAAAGGAACGGGUAACCUUUGCAAAGCACAUCGUGAUGGGGAUAGAUUAUUGCAAUUAUUAGUCUUGAACGAGGAAUUCCUAGUAAGCACAAGUCAUCAGCUUGUGUUGAUUACGUCCCUGCCCUUUGUACACACCGCCCGUCGCUACUACCGAUUGAAUGGUUUAGUGAGAUCUUCGGAUUGGCGCCACUGCGGCUCAGCAAUGGGCUCGGUGGAUGCCGAAAAGUUGAUCAAACUUGAUCAUUUAGAGGAAGUAAAAGUCGUAACA